rnacentral:rRNA from 1 species
CGAACGCUGGCGGCGUGCUUAACACAUGCAAGUCGAACGCGAAAGGGACUUCGGUCCUGAGUAAAGUGGCGCACGGGUGAGUAACGCGUAGAUAACCUGUCUUCAUGUCUGGAAUAAUACGCCGAAAGGGGUACUAAUACCGGAUAUUCUUGCUUUUCAUAAGUUAUGCAAGCAAAGGUGGCCUCUGCAUAUGCUACUGCAUGAAGAGGGGUCUGCGUACCAUUAGCUAGUAGGUGGGGUAAUGGCCUACCUAGGCGACGAUGGUUAGCGGGUCUGAGAGGAUGAUCCGCCACACUGGCACUGGAACACGGGCCAGACUCCUACGGGAGGCAGCAGUGAGGAAUAUUGCGCAAUGGGGGAAACCCUGACGCAGCGACGCCGCGUGAGUGAGGAAAAGGCCUUCGGGUCGUAAAGCUCUGUCAAGAGGAAAGAAGUGUACAAUGGCUAAUACCUGUUGUAUUUGACGGUACCUCUAAAGGAAGCACCGGCUAACUCCGUGCCAGCAGCUGC